rnacentral:tRNA from 1 species
UGGUCGGGAUAGCUCAGU